GAGCGUCAGUACAUUCCAAGGGGCUGCCUUCGCCUUCGGUAUUCCUCCACAUCUCUACGCAUUUCACCGCUACACGUGGAAUUCUACCCCUCCCUAAAGUACUCUAGUUACCCAGUCUGAAAUGCAAUUCCUAGGUUAAGCCCAGGGCUUUCACACCUCACUUAAAUAACCGCCUGCGUGCCCUUUACGCCCAGUUAUUCCGAUUAACGCUCGCACCCUCCGUAUUACCGCGGCUGCUGGCACGGAGUUAGCCGGUGCUUCUUCUGUAUUUAACGUCAAUUUGAUGUGCUAUUAACACAUCAACCUUCCUCAAUACCGAAAGAACUUUACAACCCGAAGGCCUUCUUCAUUCACGCGGCAUGGCUGCGUCAGGGUUCCCCCCAUUGCGCAAUAUUCCCCACUGCUGCCUCCCGUAGGAGUCUGGACCGUGUCUCAGUUCCAGUGUGGCUGGUCAUCCUCUCAGACCAGCUAGAGAUCGCAGGCUUGGUAGGCAUUUACCCCACCAACUACCUAAUCCCACUUGGGCUCAUCCUAUGGCAUGCGGCCUCUCAGUCCCGCACUUUCAUCUUCCGAUAAUACGCGGUAUUAGCGACAGUUUCCCGUCGUUAUCCCCCUCCAUAAGCCAGAUUCCCAAGCAUUACUCACCCGUCCGCCACUCGUCAGCAAGAAAGCAAGCUUUCUCCUGCUACCGUUCGACUUGCAUGUGUUAAGCCUGCC
rnacentral:rRNA from 1 species